rnacentral:rRNA from 1 species
UGCAAGUCGAACGGAAGUCGUUAUAAAAAGGAUUGAAGAUUUAUCUGAUUGAGAUUUUAUAACAAUGGCUUUAGUGGCGGACUGGUGAGUAACGCGUGAGCAACCUGCCUACUAGAGGGGAAUAACAGUGAGAAAUCAUUGCUAAUACCGCAUAUGCCAUGAACAUCACAUGAUGAAAAUGGGAAAAGAGUAAUCUGCUAGUAGAUGGGCUCGCGUCUGAUUAGAGAGUUGGUGGGGUAACGGCCUACCAAGUCAACGAUCAGUAGCCGGACUGAGAGGUUGAACGGCCACAUUGGGACUGAGAUACGGCCCAGACUCCUACGGGAGGCAGCAGUCGGGAAUAUUGCGCAAUGGAGGAAACUCUGACGCAGUGACGCCGCGUAUAGGAAGAAGGUUUUCGGAUUGUAAACUAUUGUCGUUAGGGAAGAUACAAGACAGUACCUAAGGAGGAAGCUCCGGCUAACUACGUGCCAGCAGCCGCGGUAAUACGUAGGGAGCAAGCGUUAUCCGGAUUUAUUGGGUGUAAAGGGUGCGUAGACGGGACAACAAGUUAGUUGUGAAAUCCCUCGGCUUAACUGAGGAACUGCAACUAAAACUAUUGUUCUUGAGUGUUGGAGAGGAAAGUGGAAUUCCUAGUGUAGCGGUGAAAUGCGUAGAUAUUAGGAGGAACACCGGUGGCGAAGGCGACUUUCUGGACAAUAACUGACGUUGAGGCACGAAAGUGUGGGGAGCAAACAGGAUUAGAUACCCUGGUAGUCCACACCGUAAACGAUGGAUACUAGGUGUAGGAAAUGAUUUCAUUUUCUGUGCCGUCGCAA